GCCCCGCUGGCUCAAUGGUAGAGCAUUAGACUUCUACGUCUGUUCAUACAGAAAGGCAUCUAAAGGUUGCGGGUUCGACCCCCGCGUGGGGUU